rnacentral:rRNA from 1 species
GACGAACGCUGGCGGCGUGCUUAACACAUGCAAGUCGAACGGAAAGGCCCUGCUUUUUUGGGGUGCUCGAGUUGCGAACGGGUGAGUAACCCGUGAGUUACCUGCCCUUCACUUUGGGAUAACUUCAUGAAACUUGGGCUAAUACCGGAUAGGAGCUCUUGCUGCAUGGUGGGUGUUGGAAAGUUUCGGCGGUUGGGGAUGGACUCGCGGCUUAUCAGCUUGUUGGUGGGGUAGUGGCUUACCAAGGCCUUGACGGGUAGCCGGCCUGAGAGGGUGACCGGCCACAUUGGGACUGAGAUACGGCACAGACUCCUACGGGAGGCAGCAGUGGGGAAUAUUGCACAAUGGGCGGAAGCCUGAUGCAGCAAAGCAGCGUGCGGGAUGACGGCCUUCGGGUUGUAAACCGCUUUCGCCUGUGACGAAGCGUGAGUGACGGUAAUGGGUAAAGAAGCACCGGCUAACUACGUG